rnacentral:rRNA from 1 species
UACGUAGGCACCAAGCGUUGUCCGGAUUUAUUGGGCGUAAAGAGCUCGUAGGUGGUUCCGUAAGUCAGGUGUGAAAACUCGAGGCUCAACCUCGAGACGCCGAUGGAAACCAUCUGACUAGAGUCCGGAAGAGGAGAGUGGAAUUCCUGGUGUAGCGGUGAAAUGCGCAGAUAUCAGGAAGAACACCCGUGGCUAAGGCGGCUCUCUAGUACGGUACUGACGCUGAGACGCGAAAGCGUGGGGAGCGAACAGG